rnacentral:rRNA from 1 species
AAUAUUGCACAAUGGGGGCAACCCUGAUCCAGCCAUGCCGCGUGUGUGAAGAAGGUCUUCGGAUUGUAAAGCACUUUAAGUUGGGAGGAAGAGUUGUAGGCUAAUACCUUGCAAUUUUGACGUUACCAACAGAAUAAGCACCGGCUAACUUCGUGCCAGCAGCCGCGGUAAUACGAAGGGUGCAAGCGUUAAUCGGAAUUACUGGGCGUAAAGCGAGCGUAGGUGGUGCAGUAAGAUGGAAGUGAAAUCCCCGGGCUCAACCUGGGAACUGCAUCCAUAACUGCUGGGCUAGAGUACGGUAGAGGGUAGUGGAAUUUCCUGUGUAGCGGUGAAAUGCGUAGAUAUAGGAAGGAACACCAGUGGCGAAGGCGACUACCUGGACUGAUACUGACACUGAGGUGCGAAAGCGUGGGGAGCAAACAGG